UCAAAGAGAACAGUGUGAAAAAGGGGUGGCUGGAGUGUACAGGCUGAGAGUAAAGCUGAUGUCAGAUCUUGAGGGUGUACAAGCUCUGCUGGGAGGUUGGAUGUGAUUCAGGUCAAGAGGACGUACUUCAGUUUCAGGCUUGAUCCUGUGCUGGAGGCAACCAGGAGAUAUUGUUUCUCUCUCCCCCCUCCCUUCCCACUCUCUCUAAAAAUAACGGGAAAAUAUCCUCAGAUGAGGAUUUUUUUAAAAAAGUCAAAAAUAUAGCACAUACAAUGAUGUGCAGUACAUAAUACUUGAUAAUGAUAAUAAACAACUGUGUGGCAGGUUUACAUAUUUACUAGACUAUGCUUUUAAUCAUUAUUUUGUAGUUUGCUCGUUCUACUUAUUUAAAAAUGUCCUCCGUAAAACAGUAUGCUGUGUUACACUUACAGCAGCAUCAUAUAUCUCACGUUUACCAAGUCUCUUGAUUGUAUCAUUUCCUCUUGUGCUUGAUGUACUCUCAUGUUGUUUUAUAAAUUUAGUGUAUACCUGCCAAGAAGGACUCCAGGUGGUUAAUUGGGCUUAAAUUCAUAAUCAGAGUCUAGCAGCCUUGGCUGACCAGGGCCUCUGACACAUACUUCAUUUCAGAGAAAAGCUGCAGACUGAUCCGAAAGCCUUCUGCAUUGUGUUCAUGUCCGGUAAGCCCACCCUUAUAAAGGUGUUCCUGGAAUCAUCUUUCAACCAAUCGGCUGAGACCUGCCCUGUCCAAUCAGAACUACACAGCUAUAGCCUCAUUUGCAUCUUUACUGACCAAUCAGAGCAACUCCACAAUGACCAAUCAGAAUAGGUGUUUAUGACCAAUCAGGACAGUGCUAUUUGGACCAAUCAAACUAAGCACAUUUGGAUUCCUCGUUUGCAUAAAAAUGGACCAAUCAGGAGCCAGGGCACCUCAGAUUGGGGACUGCUGUUGGAAUAGCUUGGGACCAGCCACCUUUUGUCAACAACAAUAAUGUCCUAGGCCUUCAUAUUUGCUCACCUUUCACCGACUCACCCAGAGCAACUUAGUCCUGCAUGCUCCAUUAAUGCUUUCCAGGUCUGUCGGCAGAGAGGAGACUGGCUCAGCAUCAGAGUUCCCAGACUUGACUCAAUAAUCACCAAACCUGAGAACCAGGCUCCAUUGGAAUUCCACCAACAGGAAGAGCUGGACAGGUUUCUUCUCAUUUCCUCACCUUAAUUCCGACUCAGCAGCUUCUACAGCUAUAAACAACAAAGGAUAUUUAAUAAGUGAGAUGCAUUGGUCUGUGAAACAGUGUUCCUGAUUCAUUAGGAAGUUGUGGUCAGGUUUUAUUGCAGUACGUGCUUCAUAUCUUGAUUUCUGGGUACCUGUGUGCACAACUCUGUCUGUAUCUGGGCACGAGGUGAUUUUCACCAAGAUUCAUUUACUUUGCCGUAAGCAGAAUGGAAAUAGCUGAGAGAAUCUCUUGGUGGGGGUGCCGGGGGGGGGGGGUGGCGGAGGGCAUUCCUUUGGUGUAGAGAUUACACAUUGGGUGGCAUAAGCACCCACUUAGAGGCCAACUUUUAGUCAACAAAUAUUUCUUAAGAUGAGCACUGUGCUAGGCUCUGAGCUCGGCACUGCAGAACAAAGAAGCCUGCUCCCAGCCCUCUGGGAGCAUCAGAGCUGCUGCUGCUUUACCUGCAGCUGUGCUCUUUCCUCGCCCUCCUCUUGGCCUGGCCAAUACAACUCAUGUCUCAAUUGUUAGCAUAAGACUCCCCUUUUCUGGAAAGCCUUCCAUGGGUCCUGGUAGAGAUGAUGAGUUGUCUAUUCAAUACCAAUUUUUUCUUCAUCCUACGAAUAAACUCUGGUUAUAGUCAAUAGCAUUGUACAUAGCUGCUAAACUGCAUUUCCCAGUCUCCCUUACAUUUAGGAGUGGCUAUUAAGAUGUAAGAGGAGCCCUAACUGGUUUGGCUCAGUGGAUAGAGCGUCAGCCUGCAGACUCAAGGGUCCCAGGUUCGAUUCCGGUAGGCACGUACAUUGGUUGCAGGCAUGUCCCCAGUGGGGGGUGUGCAGGAG